GGCACGGACCAUGGGCCUCUGAGAGCCGGCCCCGGGCGGGCCAGCCGCGGGCAGCUGGGCACAGCUGCAGGGCAGCUCCAUGCGGGGGUCCGAGCCAUGAGCAGCGGCCGCUCCGAAUUCAGCAUCGAUGAUGCCUUUGAAUUGUCCCUGGAGGAGGGGGGCCCGGGGCCCGGGGGGACUCCCCCGCGCUUUGGAGCGCUGCACUUUGAGCGCAAGGGCCGGGGAGACGCGGAAGAAGAGGGCGAGAAACAGUCUCGUCUCAAGUACCAGAACUUGGAGAAUGACGAGGAUGGUGCCCGGAUCCCCUCGGAUCCUGAUGGAGCUAUGAAGCUCAGCAGGGACCCUGGGUGCUCCUCCACCCGAAGUUCUCAAUGGUCCUUCAGUACCAUCAGCAACAGCACUCAGCGCUCCUAUCGUGCCUGCUGCAGCUGGACACAACACCCUCUGAUCCAGAAGAAUCGCCGGGUGGUUCUGGCCUCCUUCCUGCUGUUGUUACUGGGCUUCAGUGAGUGUCUGGCUCCCUGGCCUGCCCCUUCCCACCCAGGGUUCCUGUCCCUAGGGGCUGGAUGGGGCCACAUGCCCCGGGCUCACACUAUGACUAGCCACUGGCCUUCCUAUUGUGAGCUGGCGGGAGUUGGGGAUGGAGCUGGGAGCUGGGAGGGAAGGAAGGAGGGAGGAAGGAAGGAAGGAAGGAAGUCAUGUUUCAGGUAAGGACUUGGACGAGGCUGUGUCUGGGCUUCCUUCCAAAUCCAAGAUCUAAUUCUAAUCUUUAAAGUCCAUCAGUUGACUUCAAGUCCAAGAGAGAAUGGAGCCAAUUUAGGGAUCUGAGGAGUGCCUGGCCUAUGGAGAAAAUCAGGGGAGGGGCUGAAGGAAGCCCGAGCUUAGAGAAGAUCCCUGUGCCCCCCCAGAACUCCUACACCCACCCAGAUCUCUAAUUGCCUCCAUUAAUGGCAAAGCUGUGUGAGCUGCAUCACUUUCCCUUUCUGGGCUUGUUUCCUUGUCUUCUAAAAUGGUACCACUAGCAAGCACUAAGCUAGAUGUUAGGCUCCCAAAGACGUCGAUGAAGCCCCCUGUGGUCCCAAGAAGCUGACGUCUUACCGGGGGAAGGAACCACACAGAUGAGUAAAUACAAAAGCAACAUGGAAGCAUUUGAUACAUUUGGGGGAGGUGGGGGCCCGAGAGUAGUAGAUUUGGAGGCAGAAAAGACCACGUAAUGUCUGGGUGCCCUCUGGGCCUCUGUUUUCUCACCUGGAAAAUGAGGGUCUUGAACUAGUUGGCCCCUAAGGUUGCUCUAAAUCUAUGGCUCUCUGACUGGGGGGCUGGUAGCACCUUCAGAGAGCCUUGAAGGAAGGGGGGGCAGUGUUCCAGGAGGGAUUAAGAAGUUAAAUCCAGUGAUCAGUAGAGAUUCUCUGACCUAGCACCCCCAUUCCCCCACCUGCCUUCUGACCUCUCUCCUGACCUUCUGACCGAAGCACUCAUCCUCAUUGGGGUAGGACUGCAGGUGAACCCUUCUCCAGGUGUGUCUAGUGCCAUCUUCUUUGUUCCUGGCUUCCUGCUGCUCGUCCCUGGAG